rnacentral:rRNA from 1 species
UAAGCAAGGAAGCAACGACGCGUGGCCUCUGGUUUGGUUAACCGGGGCGGCGGAAGCAGAGCUCUCGAAGCAAGCCAUCGCUACCUCACGGAACGGCUCUACGGCGUGCGCGGCGAGCUGGCGGCGGGCGCGUUCGCCGUCGCGGAACCGACCCUACAGCCGGGGCUCUAAGGAGUCGAUUUUUUCAACACACCCCUUCUCCAACGUUUACAUUAAUCACGAUACUGUUACCCCGAUAGAAGUCCACCAUAACAAAGGAGAGUCCUCCGGGUUCCGGAAAAAGCAAAACGCUGGGGAGGGGACUCUCUUCUACUGUUCCUACCUGUAAUACAAAAACGACACCCUCUGUUGGAGUGUAGUGCGAUAUCCUAAUUACGUUUUUACCCACUUCCAUGGAAACCAGUCCACAACCUUACAACCCUGUCCCUUGCCUUUCUUUACCACCGAUAAUUCUAGUAGUCUCCGUAAUUCUUCAUGUCCCUACGACGUUACUAUCUUUAACCGUACGAGCUCGUCGAAACAUUUAUACUUUUUUCGUCUAGGUCCAAAGUAGGGCAAGUGGCUUCCUCCCUAGGAUGAUGUUUGCACACGGGUUCAGGUCAAGUUAUUUCCAAUAACUAAAACCGUCGUGGUGUAUACUGGUCGUCCUGGUCUGGAUACAUCAAAGAUGAUCCGUAAUAGCCCGAGGCCUUCAAUAGGACCCUGAACCUACCUCAAUGGGUACACUAUAGACCUCGCAACCCACAUAUGAUCAACUUGAGACGUGCCCUCUCCGCGACAAAGUUUGGGUACUUUUAAACCUCGUAGAACGAUACUACCUCUCCCACGAACCCGGCAACGGUAUAGUGUACGAGUUCUUCCGACUAGCUGUACCACUCUUUAUACACUCCUUCCCGGCAAAUUUGACCAGACUUCCUACACGGAGUGCCCUUUCGUACUUUCGACAGUACUUCGACGGAGCCGAAGUCUUAGACCACUACGUUUUGCAACUCGUAAGACGACCACUGAAGUAGUUAGAAAACGUUCCCGACGACUCAAUACUAGGUCGUUCGGCGGAUUGCCGGGUUCUCCGGGAACUCGUAGGUAAGAACUGCCUCGCCUCACUCGCUUCUUCUACUACACGGGUUCUAGGAUCGUAGACGGUACAGCCAUUGAAUUGAACAUGAUACAAACUCGGCACUGAAGGUAAACAGCACAAGUACCUUACCGUCUCUAAGGUAAGAGAGAAGGUACCUUACCUUCUUUAUUAAUUUAAUCUAUCCUAAAUCGUCAUCGAAAAGAGCAACGUAACGAACACAUUGGACGAGUAAUAGACAUGUAUACAACUGAAUACACAUACAUUAGCCCUACUCUAAGAGACUUACUUAUAUAAAACUACCGUUGUGAUUAAAACAACCUUUAAGAAAUUCAGUAAGUCGAAAACAUAAAACUUAUUUUAACCCGUCAAGUUUUUUUUUACAUAUCUGUCGUCUCUUUAUGCUGAGUGAAGUGGUCAGAUUUGAAUAAUGUUUAUUUUUAUACAUCUUUAGGCGAAUUCAUGUUACCGUAACAAGGUUUCCCUCGGAUCUAUACUUUGGACAUGUUAACGAUUGCAAAAUAUGUUAAGAACGACACGAUCCAACAACUACUAAGUAGACGUGGCCACCGAGGAGGAUUGCAAAAUAUGUUCAGUUUACCGAAGAGAAUGCAAGACUAACUAUUUCGGUUCACUUCGUUUAUUACGUGGGAACAUCGGAAACCAAUACCGAUUCUCAGUGCACUUGAUACAUACGGAGCCUGGAGAACAACAUAACGUUACCGAAAAAUUGACGGCAAAAGUUACAGCCGUACAAAAACGACAGUUGUUUAAGUUGUACCUCUUUGUAUACCUUUAGGCAACUCGAAAAACCGACGUCAGGCAACGUGUUAUUUUAAUUGUUAUCAAAAAAGAAAAGAAAAACCCUAUUUUAAACGUUGUCGAUCCACUUGUGAAACAUUCGAUUAACGUCGACAUCUGUUCCUUCCGAUUGACGUGAUCUUUACGAGAGGGAGUAUCAGCCGACGGUGAGUCCUGCGCUGCGAGUCAGACGGUUACAGACCUACCUAUACCUGUCUUUACAGCUGCUACUAUGUACAUGAGCUGACCCCUGCUCGAUUAUCAAGAACAAACCUUGCGUUCGUGUAUCUUGUUUUUUAGCUCUAAAAAAGUUAUUAAUCGAGUCAAUUACUGAGGACGGCGUCGAAUUAAACGUCAGCGGCG